UGGGUUGUGGCUCAGUGGUAGAGCACUCACCUGGCAUGUGCAAGACCUUGGGUUCAAAUCUCAGCACCACAU
rfam:Ictidomys tridecemlineatus contig094489, whole genome shotgun sequence.